AGUGAACGCUGGCGGUAGGCCUAACACAUGCAAGUCGAACGGCAGCACAGUAAGAGCUUGCUCUUACGGGUGGCGAGUGGCGGACGGGUGCGGAAUACAUCGGAAUCUACUUUUUCGUGGGGGAUAACGUAGGGAAACUUACGCUAAUACCGCAUACGACCUACGGGUGAAAGCAGGGGAUCUUCGGACCUUGCGCGAAUGAAUGAGCCGAUGUCGGCUUAGCUAGUUGGCGGGGUAAAGGCCUACCAAGGCGACAAUCCGUAGCUGGUCUGAGAGGAUGAUCAGCCACACUGGAACUGAGACACGGUCCAGACUCCUACGGGAGGCAGCAGUGGGGAAUAUUGGACAAGGGGCGCAAGCCUGAUCCAGCCAUACCGCGUAGGUGAAGAAGGCCUUCGGGUUGUAAAGCCCUUUUGUUGGGAAAGAAAAGCAGCAGGUUAAUACCCCGCUGUUCUGACGGUACCCAAAGAAUAAGCACCGGCUAACUUCGU
rnacentral:rRNA from 1 species